CCUACGGGUGGCUGCAGUGGGGAAUAUUGGACAAUGGGGGGAACCCUGAUCCAGCCAUGCCGCGUGUGUGAAGAAGGCCCUCGGGUUGUAAAGCACUUUCAGUGAGGAAGAACGCCUGGUGGUUAAUACCCAUCAGGAAAGACAUCACUCACAGAAGAAGCACCGGCUAACUCCGUGCCAGCAGCCGCGGUAAUACGGAGGGUGCGAGCGUUAAUCGGAAUUACUGGGCGUAAAGCGCGCGUAGGUGGCUUGAUAAGCCGGUUGUGAAAGCCCCGGGCUCAACCUGGGAACGGCAUCCGGAACUGUCAAGCUAGAGUGCAGGAGAGGUAGGUAGAAUUCCCGGUGUAGCGGUGAAAUGCGUAGAGAUCGGGAGGAAUACCAGUGGCGAAGGCGGCCUUCUGGACUGACACUGACACUGAGGUGCGAAAGCGUGGGUAGCAAACAGGAUUAGAUACCCUUGUAGUC
rnacentral:rRNA from 1 species